UCAAGUAAUGAAGUGCACAUGGUGGAUGCCUUGGCAGUCAGAGGCGAUGAAAGACGUGGUAGCCUGCGAUAAGCCCUGAGGAGCUGGCAAACGAGCUGUGAUCCAGGGAUGUCUGAAUGGGGAAACCCGGCCGAAAGGUCAUCCUGCAAUGAAUGCAUAGUUGCAGGAAGCGAACCCAGGGAACUGAAACAUCUCAGUACCUGGAGGAAAGGACAUCAACCGAGACUCCGCUAGUAGUGGCGAGCGAACGCGGAACAGGCCAAUGCCGCAAGUGUAAGAACUGGAACCGGAUGGAAAGCCGGGCCUCAGCGGGUGAUAGCCCCGUACGGGUAAUGCGAACAUUCGUCCUUGAGUAAGGCGGGACACGUGAAAUCCUGUCUGAACAUGGGGGGACCACCCUCCAAGCCUAAGUACUCCUCAGCGACCGAUAGUGAACCAGUACCGUGAGGGAAAGGUGAAAAGCACCCCGACGAGGGGAGUGAAACAGUUCCUGAAACCGGAUGCUUACAAACAGUGGGAGCUCAAGGUUCGUCCUGAGUGAUGGCGUACCUCUUGUAUAAUGGGUCAUCGACUUAGUCUGUCUAGCAAGCUUAAGCCGUUAGGUGUAGGCGCAGCGAAAGCGAGUCUGAACAGGGCGACAAGUUGGGGGCGGUAGACGCGAAACCACGUGACCUACGCAUGGGCAGGUUGAAGUGGCCUUAAACGGCCAUGGAGGACCGAACUCACUAGUGUUGAAAAACUAGGGGAUGAGCUGUGUGGAGGAUUGAAAGUAUCAUCAAACGUGGAGAUAGCUCGUUCUCCCCGAAAUGUUUUUAGGAACAGCCUCGGUUUAUAAGUCUGUUAGAGGUAGAGCUACUGAUUGGGCUAGGGGGCUUCACCGCCUACCAAACCCUGACAAACUCCGAAUGCUAUGAUAUAUCUGUGGCAGUGAGGCUGCGGGCGCUAAGGUCCGUGGCCGAGAGGGAAAUAACCCAGAUUAGCAGCUAAGGUCCCUAAUACGUAGUUAAGUUGAUCAAACGAGGUGGGACUUCUAUAACAGCCAGGAUGUUGGCUUGGAAGCAGCCAUUCAUUUAAAGAGUGCGUAACAGCUCACUGGUCGAGAGGUCCUGCACGGAAAAUAAUCGGGCAUCAAACCAUGAACCGAAGCUCUAAGAUUGCCGCUAGGCGGUAUAUCGGUAGGGGAGCAUUGAAAUCAGCGUCGAAGGUGUACGGUGACGUAUGCUGGAGCGGUUUCAAAAGAAAAUGUAGGCAUAAGUAGCGAUAAAAGUAGUGAAAAACUACUUCACCGUAAGACUAAGGGUUCCUGAUCAACGUUAAUCGGAUCAGGGUUAGUCGGGUCCUUAGGCAAACCCGAAAGGGGCAGCUGAUGGAAAACUGGUUAAUAUUCCAGUACUCGCUUUAAUUUCGAUGGAGUGACGCAGAAGUGAACAGCACACGAGGGAAACGGAAUUCCCCGUUUAAGCACGUAGCUAUAGGUUUUACAGGCAAAUCCGUAAGACUUGGCGAAAUGUGAAAGUAUAUGAGGGCUUCGGCCUGAUUGAGUGCUCUAAUAGCUGCCGAGAAAAACUUCUAAGGUUAGGUUAAAGCGACCCGUACCGCAAACCGACACAGGUAGACGGGGAGAGAAUCCCUAGGCGCAUGAGUGAUCCCUUGCGAAGGAACUCGGCAAUUUGACACCGUAACUUCGGGAGAAGGUGUGCCUGUUGGGGUGAAAGGACUUGCUCCUCGAGCUGCUGGUGGUCGCAGUGAAAUGGCCCAAGCGACUGUUUACCAAAAACACAGGUCUCUGCGAAAGCGAAAGCUGACGUAUAGGGGCUGACACCUGCCCAGUGCCGGAAGGUUAAGGGGAGGGGUUCGCGCCCCGAACCGAAGCCCCGGUAAACGGCGGCCGUAACUAUGACGGUCCUAAGGUAGCGAAGUCCACGAAUGGAGUAACGACUUCCC
rnacentral:rRNA from 1 species